GCGACGAUUACCAGGGCGAGAUUGAAAUCGCCCAUCUUUCACCCUACCAGCAGCUCGACUUUCCUUCUAGAUUCAAACGGGGAUAGCGAAUUCAGUGGGAAAUGAAAUCAAUCAAUGAUGCUUGGAAAAGAGGGGAAAUUUUAGGGUUUUCUUCCUGAAUUUGAAUUUUUUGUUAGAUCUGAAUUGAUUUUUGGGAAGAAGGC
rnacentral:lncRNA from 1 species